rnacentral:rRNA from 1 species
ACUCAAAUGAAUUGACGGGGGCCCGCACAAGCGGUGGAGCAUGUGGUUCAAUUCGACGCAACGCGAAGAACCUUACCUGGGCUCGAAGCGCAGUGGAAUGCUGGGUAGAAAUACCCUCGACAUGAUUAAGACUGCUGCGGAGGUGCUGCAUGGCUGUCGUCAGCUCGUGUCGUGAGAUGUUGGGUUAAGUCCCGCAACGAGCGCAACCCUUAUCCCUAGUUGCCAUCGGGUCAAGCCGGGCACUCUAGUGAAACCGCCCCGGAUAACGGGGAGGAAGGUGGGGAUGACGUCAAGUCCUCAUGGCCUUUAUGUCCAGGGCUACACACGUGCUACAAUGCGCGGUACAAAGCGUCGCAAACCCGCGAGGGGGAGCUAAUCGCAAAAAGCCGUGCUCAGUUCGGAUUGGAGUCUGCAACCCGACUCCAUGAAGCUGGAAUCGCUAGUAAUCGCAGAUCAGAACGCUGCGGUGAAUACGUUCCCGGGCCUUGUACACACCGCCCGU